UAAAAUUCAGUUGUAGAGUAAAAAGUAUAGC
rnacentral:piRNA from 1 species